GAUGAACGCUGGCGGCGUGCCUAAUACAUGCAAGUCGAGCGAACGGACGAGAAGCUUGCUUCUCUGAUGUUAGCAGCGGACGGGUGAGUAACACGUGGAUAACCUACCUAUAAGACUGGGAUAACUUCGGGAAACCGGAGCUAAUACCGGAUGAUAUUUUGAACCGCAUGGUUCAAAAGUGAAAGACGGUCUUGCUGUCACUUAUAGAUGGAUCCGCGCUGCAUUAGCUAGUUGGUAAGGUAACGGCUUACCAAGGCAACGAUGCAUAGCCGACCUGAGAGGGUGAUAGGCCACACUGGAACUGAGACACGGUCCAGACUCCUACGGGAGGCAGCAGUAGGGAAUCUUCGGCAAUGGGCGAAAGCCUGACGGAGCAACGCCGCGUGAGUGAUGAAGGUCUUCGGAUCGUAAAACUCUGUUAUUAGGGAAGAACAUAUGUGUAAGUAACUGUGCACAUCUUGACGGUACCUAAUCAGAAAGCCACGGCUAACUACGUG
rnacentral:rRNA from 1 species